rnacentral:rRNA from 1 species
GCGAGGACCAGGUAAUGAUUAAUAGGGAUAGUUGGGGGCAUUAUAUUAAUUGUCAGAGGUGAAUCUUGGAUUAUGAAGAUUACUUCUGCGAAAGCAUCUGCCAAGGAUGUUUCAUUAAUCAAGAACGAAAGUUAGGGGAUCGAAGACGAUCAGAUACCGUCGUAGUCUUAACCAUAAACGAUGCCGACCAGCGAUUAGGAGACGUUGAAUACAAAACACCACCAUGCGCAUUGCGGUCGUCUUUGGUGUCGCUCACAAGGCGGCAUCGGGACGGCUUAGCUCGCAUGGCACCGG